rnacentral:rRNA from 1 species
CCUACGGGUGGCAGCAGUGGGGGAUAUUGCACAAUGGGGGAAACCCUGAUGCAGCGACGCCGCGUGAGUGAAGAAGUAUUUCGGUAUGUAAAGCUCUAUCAGCAGGGAAGAAAAUGACAGUACCUGACCAAGAAGCCCCGGCUAACUACGUGCCAGCAGCCGCGGUAAUACGUAGGGGGCAAGGGUUAUCCGGAUUUACUGGGUGUAAAGGGAGCGUAGACGGUUAGGUAAGUCUGGAGUGAAAGCCCGGGGCCCAACCCCGGGACUGCUUUGGAAACUGUGUAACUGGAGAACAGGAGGGCGAGGGGGAACUCCGGGGGUAGGGGUGAAAGGCGUAGAUA